UUAUUAUUUAACUAAAUUUGAUUUUAAUUAAAUAAACCUGCUAAUUAAAUUAAUUGAUUAAUUUGACUAAUUAUUUUUUUUUUUUAUCCAUUUAUCUAAAUGAAUUUAGAUGACCAUAAUUGCUAGAUUCUUGAAACAUGUUUGCAUAUAAUAUUAGAUAUUAUAUAGGAUAACACUUAUAUGAUGAAUGUUUAUUUAGUACAUGACUAUGGACUCGACCAUCUGGAUGUAUUGAAUGGUUGAUUUUAUCCUUAUCGUUUUAUGGGCCCAUAGCUAUUAAUAUGUUUUGGACUUGGGAGUCCGUUGUUGUUGUUGUUGUUAUUAUUAUUAUAGGCAUCCGAGUCCAAUUUCAUUUAGGUUUGCGUGCGAACUAGAAUAGGAUUUAGGUUAUAGCUUGACUAAUUGGAGACGUAAGUAAAAAGAGGAAACCAUGAAAAUUGUGCGUUGAUACUGAUUCAAUGCAAUACCCCUAAGAAUCGACCAACUAGUAUUCCUUUUGGCCGGAGAGGACUAAAUAGAAUCAGUCUCUAAUAAUCCAUAUAAUUUGUUUACAUGCCCCUCGAGUAGGAAGAUCAUCAAGAGUCCUUGGCAAGUGUCCUACACCUACACCUACACUUACAAAAUCAAUAAUAAAAGCCGAACAUGUAAAUGAACUUCAUGUAGUAAGAAAAUUAACUAUUAACAAAUAAACACCCUACCUUCGGAACCCUCUACUUCAUCAUCUGAUGCCACAUCAUUUUCUUCAACCCUAAGAACAUUUUCACUUUUGCUGUGCCUAUCACAUGAGUUUCCCAGUUUUUUAAAUAUUUGCUCUUUAGAUAAUAUUUGCGACACAUUUAAUUCAAAAAGAGAAAAGAACCUAUAUAAUGAAUUCAUAUUUUCAUGCAUGAGUGAUUCUUUUUAAUUGUGAUAAGUCCACAACAACGUUUCUCAACAAUUAUUAAAUGAAUAACACAGCAGAACAUGAAAACUCGAAAUUAUAAUCAAUAUGCAAGUAAAAAUCAACAUGAAAACUCAAAAUUCAGCUUCUCUAGUGAGUUUUAUAUGACAAGAACAGGUAUCAGUAGACUAAGAUAAAGAGAAACUUGACAACUUGAGCAACAACUAUCAUGCUUAUUUUAAGUCAGAAUUAAAAACUCACUAAGAAAUUAGCAUAGUACCUGUGCCUUGUUUACAACCUAGGUGACGAUGAACAGCACUCAUAGGACGAGAUGGUGGUUGAUCAAGAUUGCAGGUAGAGGUACCAUAUUUUGUACCUGGGUUAGGAAGGGUCCUUGUCGGUGUCUCAAGGUGAGUAGGAGGACGAUCAGCAUCGAUCAAAGGAGCAGAGCAAGUGGGAAUAUUUUCAGUGGUUGACCGAGUUCCACUUUUGUGAUGCACAAGUAGAGAAGAGUUGGGGAUUGAGAUGUCUGAGACAACGAAGGUACUAACCUAUUGGCUUGCAAUGAAUGUCGCAACGAAAGAGGAGGCACAAACCUAGUAGUAGAUGAGCCAUUAGAUCGUGACGUCUGAAGUAGUGGAGGCACAUCUGUGCUCGUCAUUCGAGACAUCUUAGGUGCUGGUGUUACAUGAGAGUUGUUGGAACGUUUCUUAUGAGAAAUCAGAUUCAUCUGCACAAAGACCAAGUAAUAGUUAGAAUAUAAACAUUACACUAUUCAAAGCAAUGUCUACAAUAAAAGGGCAACAAUUCAAAACUUUAAUUAGAUAGAUAAGGCUCGGUAGAUGUAAU
rnacentral:lncRNA from 1 species